UACGGAGGGUGCAAGCGUUAUCCGGAUUCACUGGGUUUAAAGGGUGCGUAGGCGGGCAGGUAAGUCCGUGGUGAAAUCUCUGAGCUUAACUCAGAAACUGCCAUGGAUACUAUUUGUCUUGAAUAUUGUGGAGGUAAGCGGAAUAUGUCAUGUAGCGGUGAAAUGCUUAGAUAUGACAUAGAACACCAAUUGCGAAGGCAGGUUACUACUAAUGGAUUGACGCUGAUGGACGAAAGCGUGGGUAGCGAACAGG
rnacentral:rRNA from 1 species